rnacentral:rRNA from 1 species
UGCAAGUCGAGCGACAGAUAAGGAGCUUGCUCCUUUGACGUUAGCGGCGGACGGGUGAGUAACACGUGGGUAACCUACCUAUAAGACUGGGAUAACUUCGGGAAACCGGAGCUAAUACCGGAUAACAUUUGGAACCGCAUGGUUCUAAAGUGAAAGAUGGUUUUGCUAUCACUUAUAGAUGGACCCGCGCCGUAUUAGCUAGUUGGUAAGGUAACGGCUUACCAAGGCGACGAUACGUAGCCGACCUGAGAGGGUGAUCGGCCACACUGGAACUGAGACACGGUCCAGACUCCUACGGGAGGCAGCAGUAGGGAAUCUUCCGCAAUGGGCGAAAGCCUGACGGAGCAACGCCGCGUGAGUGAUGAAGGGUUUCGGCUCGUAAAACUCUGUUAUUAGGGAAGAACAAAUGUGUAAGUAACUGUGCACGUCUUGACGGUACCUAAUCAGAAAGCCACGGCUAACUACGUGCCAGCAGCCGCGGUAAUACGUAGGUGGCAAGCGUUAUCCGGAAUUAUUGGGCGUAAAGCGCGCGUAGGCGGUUUCUUAAGUCUGAUGUGAAAGCCCACGGCUCAACCGUGGAGGGUCAUUGGAAACUGGGAAACUUGAGUGCAGAAGAGGAAAGUGGAAUUCCAUGUGUAGCGGUGAAAUGCGCAGAGAUAUGGAGGAACACCAGUGGCGAAGGCGACUUUCUGGUCUGUAACUGACGCUGAUGUGCGAAAGCGUGGGGAUCAAACAGGAUUAGAUACCCUGGUAGUCCACGCCGUAAACGAUGAGUGCUAAGUGUUUAAGGGGGUUUCCGCCCCUUUAGUGCUGCAGCUAACGCAUUAAGCACUCCGCCUGGGGGAGUACGACCGCAAGGUUGAAACUCAAAGGAAUUGACGGGGACCCGCACAAGCGGUGGAGCCAUGUGGUUUAAUUCGAAGCAACGCGAAGAACCUUACCAAAUCUUGACAUCCUUUGAAAACUCUAGAGAUAGAGCCUUCCCCUUCGGGGGACAAAGUGACAGGUGGGUGCAUGGUUGUCGUCAGCUCGUGUCGUGGAGAUGUUGGGGUUAAGUCCCGCAACGAGCGCAACCCUUAAGCUUAGUUGCCAUCAUUAAGUUGGGCACUCUAGGUUGACUGCCGGGACAA